ACUUCGGUACAUCGGUGACAGGUGGUGCAUGGUUGUCGUCAGCUCGUGUCGUGAGAUGUUGGGUUAAGUCCCGCAACGAGCGCAACCCCUAUUGUUAGUUGCCAUCAUUCAGUUGGGCACUCUAGCGAGACUGCCGGUAAUAAACCGGAGGAAGGUGGGAUGACGUCAAAUCAUCAUGCCCCUUAUGACCUGGGCUACACACGUGCUACAAUGGUUGGUACAACGAGUUGCGAGUCGGUGACGGCGAGCUAAUCUCUUAAAGCCAAUCUCAGUUCGGAUUGUAGGCUGCAACUCGCCUACAUGAAGUCGGAAUCGCUAGUAAUCGCGGAUCAGCACGCCGCGGUGAAUACGUUCCCGGGGCCUU
rnacentral:rRNA from 1 species